rnacentral:rRNA from 1 species
AAUGAACGUUGGCGGCGUGGAUUAGGCAUGCAAGUCGAGCGAGAACCCCGCAAGGGGGGACAGCGGCGAAAGGGACAGUAAUGUGUAGAUUAUCUGCCCUCAGGUCCGGGAUAGCUGCGGGAAACUGCAGGUAAUACCGGAUAACAUCUCCGGAUCAAAGGUGUGAUUCCGCCUGAGGAUGAGUCUGCAUCCUAUUAGCUAGUUGGUGGGGUAAUGGCCUACCAAGGCAUUGAUGGGUAGCAGGUGUGAGAGCACGACCUGCGUCAUUGGGACUGAGACACUGCCCAGACACCUACGGGUGGCUGCAGUCGAGAAUCUUCGGCAAUGGGCGCAAGCCUGACCGAGCGGCGCCGCGUGUGGGAUGAAGGCCUUCGGGUUGUAAACCACUGUCAGAGGGGAUGAAAUGCAGGUGGGUGCUCCCAUCUGUUUGACAUAGCCUCAGAGGAAGGACGGGCUAAGUUCGUG